rnacentral:rRNA from 1 species
UUAAGCGACUAAGCGUACACGGUGGAUGCCCUGGCAGUCAGAGGCGAUGAAGGACGUGCUAAUCUGCGAAAAGCGUCGGUAAGGUGAUAUGAACCGUUAUAACCGGCGAUGUCCGAAUGGGGAAACCCAGUGUGAUUCGUCACACUAUCGUUAACUGAAUACAUAGGUUAACGAGGCGAACCGGGGGAACUGAAACAUCUAAGUACCCCGAGGAAAAGAAAUCAACCGAGAUUCCCCCAGUAGCGGCGAGCGAACGGGGAGCAGCCCAGAGUCUGAAUCAGCUUGUGUGUUAGUGGAACGGUCUGGAAAGUCCGACGGUACAGGGUGAUAGUCCCGUACACCAAAAUGCACAGGCUGUGAACUCGAAGAGUAGGGCGGGACACGUGGUAUCCUGUCUGAAUAUGGGGGGACCAUCCUCCAAGGCUAAAUACUCCUGACUGACCGAUAGUGAACCAGUACCGUGAGGGAAAGGCGAAAAGAACCCCGGCGAGGGGAGUGAAAAAGAACCUGAAACCGUGUACGUACAAGCAGUGGGAGCACCUUCGGGUGUGACUGCGUACCUUUUGUAUAAUGGGUCAGCGACUUAUAUUCUGUAGCAAGGUUAACCGUAUAGGGGAGCCGCAGGGAAACCGAGUCUUAACUGGGCGUUAAGUUGCAGGGUAUAGACCCGAAACCCGGUGAUCUAGCCAUGGGCAGGUUGAAGGUUGGGUAACACUAACUGGAGGACCGAACCGACUAAUGUUGAAAAAUUAGCGGAUGACUUGUGGCUGGGGGUGAAAGGCCAAUCAAACCGGGAGAUAGCUGGUUCUCCCCGAAAGCUAUUUAGGUAGCGCCUCGUGAAUUCAUCUUCGGGGGUAGAGCACUGUUUCGGCUAGGGGGUCAUCCCGACUUACCAACCCGAUGCAAACUACGAAUACCGAAGAAUGUUAUCACGGGAGACACACGGCGGGUGCUAACGUCCGUCGUGAAGAGGGAAACAACCCAGACCGCCAGCUAAGGUCCCAAAGUCAUGGUUAAGUGGGAAACGAUGUGGGAAGGCACAGACAGCCAGGAUGUUGGCUUAGAAGCAGCCAUCAUUUAAAGAAAGCGUAAUAGCUCACUGGUCGAGUCGGCCUGCGCGGAAGAUGUAACGGGGCUAAACCAUGCACCGAAGCUGCGGCAGCGACACUAUGUGUUGUUGGGUAGGGGAGCGUUCUGUAAGCCUGCGAAGGUGACCUGUGAGGGUUGCUGGAGGUAUCAGAAGUGCGAAUGCUGACAUAAGUAACGAUAAAGCGGGUGAAAAGCCCGCUCGCCGGAAGACCAAGGGUUCCUGUCCAACGUUAAUCGGGGCAGGGUGAGUCGACCCCUAAGGCGAGGCCGAAAGGCGUAGUCGAUGGGAAACAGGUUAAUAUUCCUGUACUUGGUGUUACUGCGAAGGGGGGACGGAGAAGGCUAUGUUAGCCGGGCGACGGUUGUCCCGGUUUAAGCAUGUAGGCUGGUUGUCCAGGCAAAUCCGGAUAAUCAAGGCUGAGGUGUGAUGACGAGGCACUACGGUGCUGAAGUAACAAAUGCCCUGCUUCCAGGAAAAGCCUCUAAGCAUCAGGUAACAUCAAAUCGUACCCCAAACCGACACAGGUGGUCAGGUAGAGAAUACCAAGGCGCUUGAGAGAACUCGGGUGAAGGAACUAGGCAAAAUGGUGCCGUAACUUCGGGAGAAGGCACGCUGGUGUGUAGGUGAAGUCCCUGCGGAUGGAGCUGAGACCAGUCGAAGAUACCAGCUGGCUGCAACUGUUUAUUAAAAACACAGCACUGUGCAAACACGAAAGUGGACGUAUACGGUGUGACGCCUGCCCGGUGCCGGAAGGUUAAUUGAUGGGGUUAUCCGUAAGGAGAAGCUCUUGAUCGAAGCCCCGGUAAACGGCGGCCGUAACUAUAACGGUCCUAAGGUAGCGAAAUUCCUUGUCGGGUAAGUUCCGACCUGCACGAAUGGCGUAAUGAUGGCCAGGCUGUCUCCACCCGAGACUCAGUGAAAUUGAACUCGCUGUGAAGAUGCAGUGUACCCGCGGCAAGACGGAAAGACCCCGUGAACCUUUACUAUAGCUUGACACUGAACAUUGAGCCUUGAUGUGUAGGAUAGGUGGGAGGCUUUGAAGCGUGGACGCCAGUCUGCGUGGAGCCAACCUUGAAAUACCACCCUUUAAUGUUUGAUGUUCUAACGUUGGCCCCUUAUCGGGGUUGCGGACAGUGUCUGGUGGGUAGUUUGACUGGGGCGGUCUCCUCCCAAAGCGUAACGGAGGAGCACGAAGGUUAGCUAAUCCUGGUCGGACAUCAGGAGGUUAGUGCAAUGGCAUAAGCUAGCUUGACUGCGAGCGUGACGGCGCGAGCAGGUGCGAAAGCAGGUCAUAGUGAUCCGGUGGUUCUGAAUGGAAGGGCCAUCGCUCAACGGAUAAAAGGUACUCCGGGGAUAACAGGCUGAUACCGCCCAAGAGUUCAUAUCGACGGCGGUGUUUGGCACCUCGAUGUCGGCUCAUCACAUCCUGGGGCUGAAGUAGGUCCCAAGGGUAUGGCUGUUCGCCAUUUAAAGUGGUACGCGAGCUGGGUUUAGAACGUCGUGAGACAGUUCGGUCCCUAUCUGCCGUGGGCGCUGGAGAAUUGAGGGGGGCUGCUCCUAGUACGAGAGGACCGGAGUGGACGCAUCACUGGUGUUCGGGUUGUCAUGCCAAUGGCACUGCCCGGUAGCUAAAUGCGGAAGAGAUAAGUGCUGAAAGCAUCUAAGCACGAAACUUGCCCCGAGAUGAGUUCUCCCUGAGACUUUAAGUCUCCUGAAGGAACGUUGAAGACGACGACGUUGAUAGGCCGGGUGUGUAAGCGCAGCGAUGCGUUGAGCUAACCGGUACUAAUGAACCGUGAGGCUUAACCUU